CUCACGUGAGCCUGGAUUCUGCCC
rnacentral:miRNA from 1 species